GGCCACGUGGCGGAGUGGUUACGCAGCGGACUGCAAAUCCGUGUACGGGGGUUCGAUUCCCUCCGUGGCCUCCA
rnacentral:tRNA from 3 species